rnacentral:rRNA from 1 species
GACGAACGCUGGCGGCGUGCUUAACACAUGCAAGUCGAACGGAAAGGCCCUGCUUUUGUGGGGUGCUCGAGUGGCGAACGGGUGAGUAACACGUGAGUAACCUGCCCUUGACUUUGGGAUAACUUCAGGAAACUGGGGCUAAUACCGGAUAGGAGCUCCUGCUGCAUGGUGGGGGUUGGAAAGUUUCGGCGGUUGGGGAUGGACUCGCGGCUUAUCAGCUUGUUGGUGGGGUAGUGGCUUACCAAGGCUUUGACGGGUAGCCGGCCUGAGAGGGUGACCGGCCUCAUUGGGACUGAGAUACGGCCCAGACUCAUACGGGAGGCAGCAGUGGGGAAUAUUGCACAAUGGGCGGAAGCCGGAUGCAGCAACGCCGCGUGCGGGAUGACGGCCUUCGGGUUGUAAACCGCUUUCGCCUGUGACGAAGCGUGAGUGACGGUAAUGGGUAAAGAAGCACCGGCUAACUACGU